rnacentral:rRNA from 1 species
CAGCCGCCACGGGAAUACGUAGGGGGCAAGCGUUAUCCGGAAUUACUGGGUGUAAAGGGAGCGUAGACGGUUAAACAAGUCUGAAGUGAAAUGCCGGGGCCCAACCCCGGAGCUGCUUUGGGAACUGUAGAACUGGAGUGUCGGAGGGGUAAGCGGAAUUCCCAGUGUAGCGGUGAAAUGCGUAGAUAUUGGGAGGAACACCGGCGGCGAAGGCGGCUUACUGGACGACAACUGACGUUGAGGCUCGAAGGCGUGGGUAGCAAACAGGAUUAGAUACCCCGGUAGUCCCUGUCUCUUAUAC